rnacentral:rRNA from 1 species
GAUGAACGCUGGCGGCGUGCCUAAUACAUGCAAGUCGAGCGAACAGACGAGGAGCUUGCUCCUCUGACGUUAGCGGCGGACGGGUGAGUAACACGUGGAUAACCUACCUAUAAGACUGGGAUAACUUCGGGAAACCGGAGCUAAUACCGGAUAAUAUAUUGAACCGCAUGGUUCAAUAGUGAAAGACGGUCUUGCUGUCACUUAUAGAUGGAUCCGCGCUGCAUUAGCUAGUUGGUAAGGUAACGGCUUACCAAGGCAACGAUGCGUAGCCGACCUGAGAGGGUGAUCGGCCACACUGGAACUGAGACACGGUCCAGACUCCUACGGGAGGCAGCAGUAGGGAAUCUUCCGCAAUGGGCGAAAGCCUGACGGAGCAACGCCGCGUGAGUGAUGAAGGUCUUCGGAUCGUAAAACUCUGUUAUUAGGGAAGAACAAAUGUGUAAGUAACUAUGCACGUCUUGACGGUACCUAAUCAGAAAGCCACGGCUAACUACGUA